rnacentral:lncRNA from 1 species
CGGUACCAAGCUUCGCAACCUGCAAACAUACGUUAAUAUAAUAUAGAGCCAUAAUAUAAGUUCAGUGGGUACCAAUCCACAAGUCCUUGGAUCAUCUCCACAACGUACAUAUCCCAAAAGUCUAGUCACGCAGGACUUCAUAGUACUUAAAAGUUAUACAGUAUUUAUUUAAAUAUAAUAGCUAGCUACGAGGUUCAGGUGCAUCCUUGGAAAUUGCUCCCGCCAUGUGCAGGCUCCUUUCCUUUUCUCUGCCUCGAUUGUAGGCUCGGGUCAUCAUCCUCAUUCUUAACUGUUGAGUAAAAAUAUACAAUGGCAAGAAGUGAGCUCUUAAUGGCUCAGCAAGUAAAAUCUGUCACAGGAUUUUCACAAGACAUGGUACAGACAAUAUAUUCAAUAUAUCCGAAUUAAUUUAAACAAUGAAACACACAUUCAGAAAGAUCUCAAUAAAUCCACAUAUCUCGAUAUGAAAAUCCAAAAAGAACUUUAAUUACUGAGAACUGGUCAAAUCCGCCCCGAUACAGCAGCGAUGCGAUCAACUACCGCCGAGUACCGUUCUCCUGCGCAACUUAUCCUCACCCGAUCACGGCUCGAGAUAAACACGCCCUAUCCUCUUUAGCUAGCAUAACGAAUAUCUCUGAGGCCAUCGUCGAACUCUUCCGACGUUCCCCGUAUUCGUAAAAGUCCUCACUUGGGACCAAAAUCUCAUUCAUAAAUAAACACCGUGGAUCACAAGCCACGUUGACCAGUGAGAAUAACAUCCUCCGGAUUUAAGACUUUCGAAUAAAAUUAAAUGAUGAAAGUGAUCACAAAAUCCUAGAUUCGAACAAGGAAUCUAGCGGGUCUCGUUCAAUAGGGGCGAAGGUAGUCGAUAUGAACAAUAUAUCGACCAUUGAAUUAAUUAAAGUGAUUAUUUCCGAAGAAGGGAAAAUAAUCCUAAUUUAUAUAAUAAAUAAAUGGUUGCUCCCGAACAAAGAGAAACAACCUUAUUUACGCAAAAUUCUGAUUUCUGAUUCUAGUUGCUCAUAAGGAAUAAUGAAUAAAAUAUAAGCUAAGUCGGGCAGAAAUCAUGAAUAAUAAAAUUAUAAAUGUACAAAAAUAAUUCAACAAAAAUAAUAAAGAGAAUAUAGGGUAAGAAGUACUUGCCUCGAUACCGCUUAAAUAGUUUACAAUUUCCUGGCCCACCUUUGCCAAAAGAAAUUUAUGCAGGAAU